rnacentral:rRNA from 1 species
GACGAACGCUGGCGGCGUGCCUAAUACAUGCAAGUUGAGCGAUGAAGAUUGGUGCUUGCACCAAUUUGGAGAGCAGCGAACGGGUGAGUAACGCGUGGGGAAUCUGCCUUUGAGCGGGGGACAACAUUUGGAAACGAAUGCUAAUACCGCAUAACAACUUUAAACAUAAGUUUUAAGUUUGAAAGAUGCAAUUGCAUCACUCAAAGAUGAUCCCGCGUUGUAUUAGCUAGUUGGUGAGGUAAAGGCUCACCAAGGCGAUGAUACAUAGCCGACCUGAGAGGGUGAUCGGCCACAUUGGGACUGAGACACGGCCCAAACUCCUACGGGAGGCAGCAGUAGGGAAUCUUCGGCAAUGGACGAAAGUCUGACCGAGCAACGCCUCGUGAGUGAAGAAGGUUGUCGGAUCGUAAAACUCUGUUGGUAGAGAAGAACGUUGGUGAGAGUGGAAAGCUCAUCAAGUGACGGUAACUACCCAGAAAGGGACGGCUAACUACGUG